rnacentral:RNase_P_RNA from 1 species
UAAGCCAGAUAAUCGCAGGUACAAAUUCGAAAGAAUGUACAUGAGGAAAGUCCGGGCUCCAAAGAGCAAUGGUGCUGGGUAACUCCCAGUGAGGGUAACCUUAAGGAAAGUGCAACAGAAAAUAACCGCCUGCAUGCAGGUAAGGAUGAAAAGGCGAGGUAAGAGCUCACCAGCAAUAUGGUGACAUAUUGGCUGUGUAAACCCCACCUGGAGCAACACCUUAAAUGGAAGAUUAAAACUGCUCGUUGCCUUCCACCUAGGUGGCUUGAGGUAUAUAGAAAUAUAUAUCCUAGAUAAAUGAUUAUCAAAUACAGAACCCGGCUUAUAGGCUUACUUCU